rnacentral:rRNA from 1 species
GAUGAACGCUGGCGGCGUGCUUAACACAUGCAAGUCGAACGGAAAGGCCCUGCUUGCAGGGUACUCGAGUGGCGAACGGGUGAGUAACACGUGGGUGAUCUGCCCUGUACUUUGGGAUAAGCCUGGGAAACUGGGUCUAAUACCGAAUAUGACAAUUGUUUGGAUGCGAUUGUGGUAAGCUUUUGCGGUAUGGGAUGAGCUCGCGGCCUAUCAGCUUGUUUGUGGGGUAAUGGCCUACCAAGGCGUCGACGGGUAGCCGUCCUGAGAGGGUGUACGGCCACAUUGGGACUGAGAUACGGCGCAGACUCCUACGGGGGGCAGCAGUGGGGAAUAUUGCACAAUGGGCGCAAGCCUGAUGCAGCGACGCCGCGUGGGGGAUGACGGCCUUCGGGUUGUAAACUCCUUUCGCAACCGACGAAGCCUUUUGGUGACGGUAGGUUGAGAAGAAGCACCGGCUAACUACGUG